UAUAGCAGGUAUGCAAAUGUUACACAUCACAAAUAUAUUUCAUUAAAUCAGUCCCAUUUUCUGAAUCACAGUUGAUAUUUAGGACAGGAUAGUUGUGGAUAUUGUGGCAUUUAAACCCAUGUCUAAUUUCAGGUCCUGGAAUACUGAGAAUUGGGGCAGGCAUGAAUGGCCAUGACAGAUUUACAGGUGUGCUGCAGGACGUGAGGGCCUAUGAACGGAAACUGACCCUGGAAGAAAUUUAUGAGUUUCAUGCUAUGCCUGCGAAGGAUGAUUUACACCCCAUUUCUGGAUAUCUGGAGUUCAGGCAGGGAGAAACCAACAAAUCAUUUAUUGUUUCUGCAAGAGAUGACAAUGAAGAGGAAGGAGAAGAAUUAUUCAUUCUUAAACUAGUCUCUGUGUAUGGAGGAGCUCACAUUUCUGAAGACAAUAGUACAGCAAGAUUAGUAAUACAAAAGAGUGACAAUGCCAAUGGCCUGUUCGGUUUCACAAGAGCUUGUAUACCAGAGGUGUUGUGUGUGACAGCGACAGGUUGAUGUUCAUAAAAGGCUGCCAAGAAACAAGAGAGCCUUUUCCUUUGCAAGUUGACUCUGGUAUGUUUAGAAGGGUGUAUAUGUAAGUUGAAAUGAUUAAGGGGGAAUGGAUGUGAUUGUAAUGUUACAUAGUAUAAAUAUGAAAAUAUCACAAUGAAAUCCAAUAUUUUAUGCAGUUUAUAUGCAUUAAUAAAAAUGGAAAA
rnacentral:lncRNA from 1 species